rnacentral:rRNA from 1 species
AUUGAACGCUGGCGGCAUGCCUUACACAUGCAAGUCGAACGGCAGCACGGGAGCAAUCCUGGUGGCGAGUGGCGAACGGGUGAGUAAAGUAUCGGAACGUGCCCAGUCGUGGGGGAUAACGUAGCGAAAGUUACGCUAAUACCGCAUACGAUCUAUGGAUGAAAGCGGGGGAUCGCAAGACCUCGCGCGAUUGGAGCGGCCGAUAUCAGAUUAGGUAGUUGGUGGGGUAAAGGCUCACCAAGCCGACGAUCUGUAGCGGGUCUGAGAGGACGACCAGCCACACUGGGACUGAGACACGGCCCAGACUCCUACGGGAGGCAGCAGUGGGGAAUUUUGGACAAUGGGCGAAAGCCUGAUCCAGCCAUGCCGCGUGCAGGUUGAAGGCCUUCGGGUUGUAAACUGCUUUUGUACGGAACGAAAAGGUUUGGCCUAAUAAGCUGAGCUCAUGACGGUACCGUAAGAAUAAGCACCGGCUAACUACGUGCCAGCCGCCGCAGUAA